AGUGAACGCUGGCGGUAGGCCUAACACAUGCAAGUCGAACGGCAGCACAGUAAGAGCUUGCUCUUACGGGUGGCGAGUGGCGGACGGGUUAGGAAUACAUCGGAAUCUACUUUUUCGUGGGGUAUAACGUAGGGAAACUUACGCUAAUACCGCAUACGACCUACGGGUGAAAGCAGGGGAUCUUCGGACCUUGCGCGAUUGAAUGAGCCGAUGUCGGAUUAGCUAGUUGGCGGGGUAAAGGCCCACCAAGGCGACGAUCCGUAGCUGGUCUGAGAGGAUGAUCAGCCACACUGGAACUGAGACACGGUCCAGACUCCUACGGGAGGCAGCAGUGGGGAAUAUUGGACAAUGGGCGCAAGCCUGAUCCAGCCAUACCGCGUGGGUGAAGAAGGCCUUCGGGUUGUAAAGCCCUUUUGUUGGGAAAGAAAAGCAGCAGGUUAAUACCCCGCUGUUCUGACGGUACCCAAAGAAUAAGCACCGGCUAACUUCGUG
rnacentral:rRNA from 1 species